GCGAAAGUCGACGGGAGGGAAGGCUCCUCGGAAGCAGCUCGCGACGAAGGCUGCCCGUAAGAGCGCACCCGCUACCGGAGGAGUGAAGAAGCCCCACAGGUAUCGGCCGGGUACCGUGGCACUUCGUGAGAUUAGGCGUUACCAGAAGAGCACGGAACUUCUGAUCCGUAAGCUGCCGUUCCAGCGCCUCGUUCGUGAGAUCGCUCAGGAUUUCAAGACCGAUCUGCGGUUCCAGAGCUCGGCAGUGAUGGCCCUUCAGGAGGCAAGCGAGGCUUACCUCGUCGGUCUCUUCGAGGACACGAACCUCUGCGCCAUCCACGCAAAGCGU
rnacentral:rRNA from 1 species